rnacentral:rRNA from 1 species
UACGUAGGUGGCAAGCGUUGUCCGGAUUUACUGGGCGUAAAGAGCGCGCAGGCGGUCGUUCAAGUCGCGUGUGAAAGCCCCCGGCUCAACUGGGGAGGUCACGCGAUACUGAUCGACUGGAAGGCAGGAGAGGGUAGUGGAAUUCCCGGUGUAGUGGUGAAAUGCGUAGAUAUCGGGAGGAACACCAGUGGCGAAGGCGACUACCUGGCCUGUUCUUGACGCUGAGGCGCGAAAGCUAGGGGAGCAAACGGG